rnacentral:lncRNA from 10 species
CUUCUGCAGCCUCAUCUCUGCCAUUCUUCACCUUUUGUGCUCCAACCCAAUCUGGUUUUCUUCUCAUGCUUUGAACACCCCAAGUCUGUCUGCUUCAGGAGCUUCGUACUGGCUAAUCAUUCACCACAGCAUACUCCCAUCUAUACGGCUGGCUCUUAUAUUAUGGGUCUCAGCUAAAAUGUCAUCCCUUCAAAGAGACCUUCUUGGACCACCCCCGCCAUUCUCUAUCCUAUUUCUCUCUUUUAUUUUCUUUGAAGCACUUACCCACUUUCAGAAACUAUCUGGCUUGCUCAUGUGUUUGUCUCUAGAUUGUCUACUUCCCCUCCUAGACUGUACUCUCCACAAGAGAGCAAAGCUGUGUCUGUUGCAUUCACUGUUGUCUUCCCAGAAGCAAGCAGCAUGCUGGAGACCCUCAAAUACAUGUGAAAUGAAGGGACACCUUGUGUUAUUUCACCUGUUUCCACCUGGUUCCCAAGUGGCAAGCUUGCAUUGAGGUUACAAAGUGGCAAAGCUGGGAUAUCACAUGAUGUCACCAUGAUGCUAUAUGAAAUGUAACAUUAAUUGAGUACCUAUGUGACCAGUUCUUUAAUUCUGUAAGUGAACUCUCAAAAAACCCUAGGUAAGUAUUAUCAACUCGAACUUUAACGGAUGAGGAAACUGGAAUUUUUUAAAAAAUGACUUAACCAAACAUCACAGAGCUGUAAACCAGGAUUUGAAUGGGUGAGCUGCACUCAGCCUUCAUCUCAAGUCAGUUUGCCUCUUUCUCCAAGAAGCCACAGUUGAUCCUGACCACAUCACAUAUGAGUUGCCUGGAUUGCAGUCAUUCAUUCACUAAGCAUCUUUUAGGAGGUCACAUGCCAGGCACCGUGUUAGGUAAUGAUUUCUCCAAGUCACAGGAGCCGUGGUUCUGACUUUAGAAAGUUUCUCAUCUGAUGGGAGGGCAGGCAAGUAAAUCAGUAAGGGUGGUCCCUGUCGGGACACUGGUUGAGAAAUACCCAGGAACACUCUGAUUGAGAAAUACCCAAAGUGCAAAGUGACAGGGACUAGAGGCAUCUCCACUGGACCAGAGAGCUCUGGAUUCGUCUUGAGCUAAGUCUCUGGAGGUAGGUGUCAGCUACAAGGAGAAAAGCUGUAUAUUUUGAGAUAUGGGAUGCAGGGCCUUUUAGUUCCAUAAAUAAGAGAACUAUGGUGUGAAUACCACAUGCCCUGGGCUGAACUAAGUGGGCUCUAGGGGAAGGUAUACUGGGCAGGGAGUUUGGAGAACUGGUUUCUGUCUAAUCCUUCUCUAACUCUGUGACCUUGAAUGCAUCAUUUCCCCUCUGAGUCUCAGAUUCUCUUUCUGGCUGGCAUUUAAUGAAACCUAAAUAUUCUAGACCUUCUACUUGUUCCAUAAGUGCUCAGUCCUACACUCACUCUCCUCUGGCACCAAUAUACUGAUUACUCAUUUUAUGCCCAGCAGAGCACUGCGUGUUUUGAAAUAUACAAAUAGUGGGAAACGAAAUCUUUGUUCUGGAUGCAGUUAUAAUUUGGAAAGCGAGGAAAUAAAUUAUAACAAGGGGAAAAAACAGACACAGAGGGAUUGAAAUGCAUAACAAUAGAGAUGAAACACGAAGAGUGAUAAAUGAAGAUUGAGUGUGCACACCUUCUGGAGGAGCCCUGAUUGAGUAUUUUAACACAGAAGUGGGUGAGAGCAAAGUUGUGUCAGAGUAAGACAAUGACACCAAGCCAGAUGGUUAUCAAAAUCCACAGGAACAAAUGAAGAGAACCAGAAAUUGCAAAUAAGAAGGACAGAGUACCAGAGAGGAGAGAGAGGUACAGAGAAUUAUGGAGGUGGCUUCCGUUGAGUAUGCAGCUAAGUAAUGAUUAAUGCAUACAUAUAAGAAACUACUGGAUGACAGAGAAAGAACCACAAGCAAUUUAAAGAAUACUACUAAAGUCAUGCCGUGUGACUUCUGAAGCUAGCUCCUAAGAAGUCCUUGCAGCUUCUGCCUGCGACUCUUAGAACACUUGCUUUGAAGGAUGCCAGAUGCUGUCUUAAAAGUCUGAGCACUCUGAAACCAUCAUGCUGUGAGGAAGCCCAAGCUAACCACAUGGGCAAAAAAGAUGCCCUCUGACUGCCACCAUUUGAGACACUCUAAUUAAGAACUGCCUCAUUGAGCCCAUGAGGCCCUGUGAAUGAUAAUAAUAAAUUGUUUUUAACCAC